rnacentral:rRNA from 1 species
AGGAGUUUGAUCCUGGCUCAGGACGAACGCUGGCGGCGUGCCUAAUACAUGCAAGUCGAACGAGAUCGGGCUUCGGCCCACAUGAUCUAGUGGCGAACGGGUGAGUAACACGUGAGAAACCUGCCCCGAAGACGGGAAUAACUCGAGGAAACUCGUGCUAAUACCCGAUGUCUUCACACCAUCGCAUGGUGGAGUGAAGAAAUGCUCCGGCGCCUUGGGAGGGUCUCGCGGCCUAUCAGCUAGUUGGUGAGGUAACGGCUCACCAAGGCAUCGACGGGUAGCUGGUCUGAGAGGAUGAUCAGCCACACUGGGACUGAGACACGGCCCAGACUCCUACGGGAGGCAGCAGUAGGGAAUCUUGCGCAAUGGGCGAAAGCCUGACGCAGCAACGCCGCGUGGGGGAUGACGGCCUUCGGGUUGUAAACCCCUUUCAGCAGGGACGAAAAUGACGGUACCUGCAGAAGAAGCUCCGGCCAACUACGUGCCAGCAGCCGCGGUAAUACGUAGGGAGCAAGCGUUGUCCGGAAUUAUUGGGCGUAAAGAGCUCGUAGGCGGUUCGGUAAGUCGGGUGUGAAAAUCCAGGGCUCAACCCUGGGACGCCACCCGAUACUGCUGUGACUAGAGUCCGGUAGAGGAGCGUGGAAUUCCUGGUGUAGCGGUGAAAUGCGCAGAUAUCAGGAGGAACACCAGCGGCGAAGG